UGGAUGAAAAAUGAGCAGGUCUAAUCAAGGCUUCGUUUGAAUUUUUUUUCACAAUAUAUGCAAAAAUAUCAGUCCUUAAAGGAAACAGAUAACAGCGCCCCCACCUUCCGCCGACAUGCUGCUGUCAUGUUAAAUGUAGCUUGCAGCUCCAGGAUGCAGAAGGAAGAACGACACAAAACGGCUCGAGCAGGGCGUUGCUGAUUCACUCACUCGUUCAUGCUAUAUGCAAAAGUCUUUGUCCCUUAAGGCAACAGGUUACAGUCCCCCCCACCCCCCCACAGGCUGCUUUCAUAUUAACAUUAGCUUGGAGCUCCAGAAUGGACCAGAAAGAACGACGAGAAUGGCUCGAGCAGGGCGUUGCUCACGGGGCGGUCGCUCGUGCCAGCCGGUCGCACGUGCUCGGGCCCGCUAAAUGCUACUUGUAGCUUUAAUUUAUCUGUGGAUUUCCACUUAAAUUUUAGUUUGCAUGGUAACUAGCGUUCUUUUUCUGUAAUCGUUUAAGUUGUUUAAGUGUAAAUGCUGCUGCUGUUUGUCUGAUAUGUAUAUAUUUUUUGUGAUGAGUGUCGUGCUGAAUCCUGCAUGUAGCUCAACACUGAUCUGCAGAGACUGACAUGUUGGGACUGAAUCCACAGAGCUUCAUGGGGACAUGCACAGGAUGCCCCAAUGUCCCGACACAGCACAGGACGGGGCGGUCAGAUGGCCUCCUCUCUUCUCUCCUCCCAGCUGUCGAGAAUGGGUGGAGCCUGGAAACUGCUGUUAUGAACGUAGCUUCGGGGAUGACGGUGGGCCUCCGGGGAGCGUCUCGGUCAACGUGCCUCAGUUCUCCACGCCGCCCGUGAACGCCGUCUCCCAAGUGGACAUGGUGAAGCUGAGCUCAGCAGCAGGAGAGUCUUCCUCACAUCUGCAGGGCAGAACAGGAACCAUCAGCCUGCCCGACGAGUGCAGUGAGGCCUUUUAUCUUCACCAAAUCCAAAUGAUUCAUGCUGUACUUGACGUUUUCGUGUUUCCCAUGAUGUAUUUAGACAUCUGGAUUUUGUCAGGCUGCUGAUUUUAGAUCACCUUUUGUUAGAUCACCUUUGUUCUACUUAGUUUAGAGGCACAUUUAAUAAAACACGGUUAAUUAGAGACAGUUUUCAAAAUGCUUUGUUUUUUAUCUUAGGAAAUGUUCUCAUCACUCACUCUUUGGACGUGUCCUCAGAGAUAGCCGCUUUCAGAGACUUCCUCACAAAACAAGGCUUUCGAACAAGUGUGAGCAAAAUCCUAAUCCUUGUUUAUUUUUUAUCUACUUUUUUUAAAAAAAAAAAAACUCUUGAUAAUAUCAGAACCUAAACCUUACCUUGACAGACUGACCUCACUGAUGACUCCACUGGAGAAAUGGACAUCCACAAAUGGAGACAUGCUUUCCUAAAAGAUGUAAGUGAACAGCAUCGGGGUUGUUGUUUUUUUGUGCAACCUAAAAAGCUCCUAAAAUAAGA
rnacentral:lncRNA from 1 species